GGAUAAUCUUAGCUCUUGCUGAAGGUCCUGCACAAGGUCUGGAAAUUAGCAAAGGCAAAUCAUUGCAAGAUGGUGUGAAUAUGCAGAUUGGUGAUUUUCUAAUCAAUACCAUGUCACUUGGGAGUCUAUCUGUAGCUCCCUUGUGAAAAUGGACUCAGAUGUUACAAUACAUUCCAACAUCUCUUUCAAGG